rnacentral:rRNA from 1 species
GAGUUUGAUCAUGGCUCAGGAUGAACGCUGGCGGCGUGCCUAAUACAUGCAAGUCGAGCGAACAGACGAGGAGCUUGCUCCUCUGACGUUAGCGGCGGACGGGUGAGUAACACGUGGAUAACCUACCUAUAAGACUGGGAUAACUUCGGGAAACCGGAGCCAAUACCGGAUAAUAUAUUGAACCGCAUGGUUCAAUAGUGAAAGACGGUUUUGCUGUCACUUAUAGAUGGAUCCGCGCCGCAUUAGCUAGUUGGUAAAGUAACGGCUUACCAAGGCAACGAUGCGUAGCCGACCUGAGAGGGUGAUCGGCCACACUGGAACUGAGACACGGUCCAGACUCCUACGGGAGGCAGCAGUAGGGAAUCUUCCGCAAUGGGCGAAAGCCUGACGGAGCAACGCCGCGUGAGUGAUGAAGGUCUUCGGAUCGUAAAACUCUGUUAUUAGGGAGAACAAAUGUGUAAGUAACUAUGCACGUCUUGACGGUACCUAAUCAGAAAGCCACGGCUAACUACGUGCCAG